rnacentral:snoRNA from 1 species
UGGCGGUGAUGACUUACCUUAGGACACCUUUGGAAUACGUAUGAAAAAAUACCAAGUUUUUUUUUUUCCUGAGCCAU